UUCGCCUCGGUCAAUUUAUUGAAAAAUCUUGUAAGAGUAAGAGGAUUUAUAACAUAAUCGUCACAAGCACAAACCUGACAUACAACUUUGUUUAAUUUGUGAAAAUAUCGAUUAGGUUGACUUCAACUUGUAAAAUUAUGGUUUAGAUAUUUGUACAUACUUUAAUCAGGAAAAUAAUCUAUUUAGACAAGGACUUUUUUCAGGUUUUUUUUGCGGGCACUUUUGAGUUAAAUGGUUCAUUGAUGGAAAAUAAGGAAAAAAAGGGGACAAUAGUGUAGUAUCGAAACUGAAAAAAAGUAUAAUGAAGAAAAGCGUCGCCCGAAUGACAGCGGAUGCAUACAAACGUACAUUUCAGUCUACAUGCAGGUGUGAAUGCCGUCUACCGUCAUUUAUAUUUGGGUGAAGAAAAUAAUUCUAGUUUAAGAAAAGUAUAAACUAUCAAAUCGAG
rnacentral:lncRNA from 1 species